GACAACAACAACAAUGGCUGAGACGACAACGAACGCAAACACCCCUGGCCUCACAUAAAAUCGAUGUUCACGCUUCAGACAACCAUAACAACAGUUAUGUAGGGCGUUGUCAUAUGUGUCUCCCCAAACAAGUGGACAAUUCAGCUUGCAUGAACUCAACGUCAAAUUUGAGGAAGAACAUCGCGCGUUCCUACGUUUCCUGGUUUCGAGUUGUGUGCCUCGUCUCCCCAAAUUCCCUCUGGUUCCCUGGCUGCGUUCCUGGAUCUUGACCUUUCGCCUGGACACGGACCUCAGACUGCCUUGCCCUACCUGACUUCAGCAUCUCACUCAACACGUACCUUCAACAUCUCCUGUACCCGUCUUGUUUCGUGUGCUUGAGCGCUGGAUCUCGACCUCCCCCCGGAAAUUGGACUGCCUUCGUCGUUCCUCGAUCACUCGCCUGGACUCGGACAUUGUCGCUUUCCGCCUGCCCUCGACCUCCUGCCUGUCCCUGGAUCUCCCUUGUGCCUACCCCCUUGGUCAGACGAAGGUUUCACCCAUGACGCAUGUACAACACCCUCCUGAAUUAUUCACAUGGUUAACUUUACUCUUAAUCCUGCAACCAACACUUAGAGUAGCAUACACAUCCCACACAAACAUCAAAGGUUGCAAUAAACCUGGUAACCUUAAGUCUUUCGUGGUGUCGUCUCCUUCCAGCCCUAACGUACAUAACAAUUU